UGAACCUAAUAUGAAAAAGACACUUCUCAAAAAAUAAAAUUCUGAACAGCAGUUUGCUUACAGCAGUCAGAAAGAACCUGGACAUUUGCAGAUAUGAACUGGCUUUCGGUACCAUUUUGGAUUUACAAAAGGUAACUGUGAAGGUUACAAAGGACAUAAACCGUUCCAUGCUAACUGAAAUCUGCUUAUUUACAAAUUUUGACUUUCUUAGAGUGGUCAGAAUGUGAUAGGGAGCUAGAAAGGGACAUUUUCUCAUAGAAUCAUAGAAUGGCUUGGACCCCAAGGAUCAUCAAGUUCCAACCCCCUGCCACAAGCAAGGCUACCAACCUCUAGAUCUGGUUCUAGACCAGGCUGCCCAGGGCCCCAUCCAGCCUGGCCUUGAACACCUCCAGGGAUGGACAUGGGGCACCCACAACCUCUCUGGGCAGCCUGUUCCAGCAUCUCACCACUCUCUCUAUGAAGAACUUCCCCCUAACAUCCAAAUUUUCUUCUGUUACUUCUGUAAAGUUUAAAAAACAAUAAAUCCAAAGACUUGUAAUGCUGCUGUACUACAAGGAAUCAAACAAAAAUGUAAGCCAGGAAGUUAAAAAUAUAGAUAACUCCUUCAUUUUUAAAAUUUUUUCAAAUUUGAAAAAAUCUGUAAGCUGGGAUGGAUGGAUGGAAGGUGGAUGUCCCAUUCCUGGAGGCAUUCAAGGUCAGGCUGGACAGGGCUCUGAGCAACCUGAUCCAGCUGUAGAUGUCCCUGUUCAUUGCAGGGGAGUUGAAUUAGAUUGUCUUUAAGGGUCCUUUCCAACUCAAAUAAUUCUAUGAUUUAUUCUGUCUAUAAAAUGAUAUCUAAAUAUUAAAUUCAAUCACAGAAAAAUAUCUUUUAUUGGUACAACACUUUUUUUUGCAGAAAUUCAAUCAUUUCUUACUGUAAAUUCAAUCACUUAAUCUUACUGUAUUGUGUCAUAUCACGUAUUAUCACACACAAUCGGGAUAGAUGAGAGACAAAGAGAUAUCCAAACCAUCGGCAUGUCCAUAUAUUAAAUAUGGUUACUUUUCUUACUAUAUGCACUCAUUAAAAAAAAAAAAAGUUUCAACAGUCAUCAGGUGACUUUCAGCCCAGCCAUUAAAUAUAUACUGCUGGUUUGUAGCUGCCAGGAAAUCUGGUGUUAAGAACAGAAGAGACAAGACGUGAGAUUGGUAGGCUCUGUUUCACUCACAGUAAAUCACUCAUUUUGACACUGAGUAAGUGGUAGAGUCUAACCUUUAGAAGCACAGAGGUUCAUGCUGCAAAAAGUUCUGUGGGCUUGCUGGUGCCCAGCAUCACAAAUAAUCGGUCUUUAACAUAAAUGUUCCUUUACUCACUUGUAAAAUACAAAUAGUAACACAUACUCCACAGGACUGCUGUGAGAAAUAAUUAAUAGUUGUAUAGUACCAAGUUAUGUGGAUGAAAGCUGCUAAUGCAAGUACAAAGCAUUAUCAGCUCUGCACUGUAUUAAAUUUCUCCUAUAAAGUUUUUAAAAAGAAGAACUUAUCUAUUUUCUCCCAGUAUUUUCACUUUGCAUAUGAGCAAAGGAUCUUGCACAGCAGUUCAUUAAAGAGAGAAUUAACAACCUAUCAUAAUCUCAUACAACCAAUCUUCCCCCUGCUUCUAUCUUACUAAAAAUGUCCAUUUAAAGACAACCUUGAGGCAAGUUUUUAAAAAUAAAUUACUUCACACAGUCCAGAAGAAGGGAUGAUCGCUAGAAACAGGAUAGUUAAAUUCAUUUAAACACCUAUAAAUGAAGCUCCAAAUGAAUUCAAUGGUGCAUAGUAAAUUUAAAAGUUGCUUUAUGGACAGCAAAAUUACCAAAAUGUAGCAUUGUUAAUGAAGUUUCUGUAACUAGUGACAAGCCACUCACAGAAAGAACUCGGAACCUCUGAGGAAUACAGAGACCUUUAAAGAAACCUCAGGUACGUACACAUAUAUCUUCAAAAAUACCGUGAUUACAUACAAAUCUUUUGUCUUUAUACCUUUUCCUUUUUUCCUGAUAAUCUAGUUAGGGUUUGGUGGGUUUUAUUGCCUCUCAGGACAAAACACCUCUAGUGGUUUUAAGACAAAUAAGUACCAAGACUAUAGGCAGUAAGGCAAGAAUUCCUCCCUCUGACUUCAAACAAAUAUGCAAGCUCUAGAAAUGAAAAUAAAAUCUAUAUAGAUUAAGAUUAAAUAAGAUUCUUCAGAAAACGUGCCCACUGCUAUAGCACUGGGAUGCCACAAUAUGCGUAGGAGCUUUUCUUUCCCCCCUGGGAAAUUAGUAUUUAUUAAUUCUUUCAGGAUACAAAAUUACUUGAAAUGAUGAACUGAUGAAUUUUGCACUAUCCUUCAUUAACAUUUUCAAAUGUUUUUGCCCUCCUUCAUCUACUUUUAUUUGCAGCCUUCUGAGCCACACAGAAGGUCAUGAAUAUUGGCUCUAUGCAACUUCAGAAACUAAUUACUCUCCUGUUGCAGUGGAUCUAACCAAGAGAGCCAUAAACCACAGAGGUUCUUAGAGAUGGGCUUGAAACAACUUGGACACAGAAUAAUUCACUCCUGACAAAUCUCCAGAGUGUUUGGAUUCCCAGGGCAAAAAUGAACACGGCAAAUCAAUGAUGGGAUCCACCUGUUGUUGUAACAGUCCAUUUACUGCUGUAACAUGAGAAGCCAGGUUUAUAGAAUAAAAGAGAGUAACUCA